GACGAACGCUGGCGGCGUGCCUAAUACAUGCAAGUAGAACGCACGGUUUAUACCGUAGCUUGCUACACCAUAGACUGUGAGUUGCGAACGGGUGAGUAACGCGUAGGUAACCUGCCUGGUAGCGGGGGAUAACUAUUGGAAACGAUAGCUAAUACCGCAUAAUAUUAAUUAUUGCAUGAUAAUUAAUUGAAAGGUGCAAUUGCACCACUACCAGAUGGACCUGCGUUGUAUUAGCUAGUAGGUGAGGUAACGGCUCACCUAAGCGACGAUACAUAGCCGACCUGAGAGGGUGAUCGGCCACACUGGGACUGAGACACGGCCCAGACUCCUACGGGAGGCAGCAGUAGGGAAUCUUCGGCAAUGGACGAAAGUCUGACCGAGCAACGCCGCGUGAGUGAAGAAGGUUGUCGGAUCGUAAAGCUCUGUUGUAAGAGAAGAACGGGUGUGAGAGUGGAAAGUUCACACUGUGACGGUAUCUUACCAGAAAGGGACGGCUAACUACGUG
rnacentral:rRNA from 1 species